CCUACGGGAGGCAGCAGUGGGGAAUAUUGCGCAAUGGGCGAAAGCCUGACGCAGCGACGCCGCGUGAGGGAUGAAGGUCUUCGGAUCGUAAACCUCUGUCAGCAGGGAAGAACGGUAACUGUGCUAAUCAGCAGUGAAUUGACGGUACCUGCAAAGGAAGCACAGGCUAACUCCGUGCCAGCAGCCGCGGUAAUACGGAGGGUGCGAGCGUUAAUCGGAAUUACUGGGCGUACAGCGCUCGUAGGCGGUAUGUCAAGUCAAGGGUGAAAUCCCCGCGCUCAACGUGGGAACUGCCUUUGAAACUGGCAAACUGGAGGAUGUGAGAGGAUAGUGGAAUUCCAGGUGUAGGAGUGAAAUGCGUAGAUAUCUGGAGGAACAUCAGUGGCGAAGGCGACUAUCUGGCACAUAACUGACGCUGAGGAGCGAAAGCGUGGGUAGCAAACAGGAUUAGAUACCCUUGUAGUC
rnacentral:rRNA from 1 species